rnacentral:rRNA from 1 species
UACGAAGGGGGCAAGCGUUGUUCGGAAUCAUUGGGCGUAAAGCGAGUGUAGGCGGCUAAUUAAGUCGAUUGUGAAAUCCCUCGGCUCAACCAAGGAAGUGCAGUCGAAACUGAUUAGCUUGAAGAUGUUAGAGGAUGGUGGAAUUCCUAGUGUAGAGGUGAAAUUCGUAGAUAUUAGGAGGAAUACCGGUGGCGAAGGCGGCCAUCUGGGACAUUCUUGACGCUGAGACUCGAAAGCGUGGGUAGCAAACAGG